UUGAACGCUGGCGGCAGGCCUAACACAUGCAAGUCGAACGGUAACAGGAAGCAGCUUGCUGCUUCGCUGACGAGUGGCGGACGGGUGAGUAAUGUCUGGGAAACUGCCUGAUGGAGGGGGAUAACUACUGGAAACGGUAGCUAAUACCGCAUAAUGUCGCAAGACCAAAGAGGGGGACCUUCGGGCCUCUUGCCAUCGGAUGUGCCCAGAUGGGAUUAGCUUGUUGGUGGGGUAACGGCUCACCAAGGCGACGAUCCCUAGCUGGUCUGAGAGGAUGACCAGCCACACUGGAACUGAGACACGGUCCAGACUCCUACGGGAGGCAGCAGUGGGGAAUAUUGCACAAUGGGCGCAAGCCUGAUGCAGCCAUGCCGCGUGUAUGAAGAAGGCCUUCGGGUUGUAAAGUACUUUCAGCGGGGAGGAAGGGAGUAAAGUUAAUACCUUUGCUCAUUGACGUUACCCGCAGAAGAAGCACCGGCUAACUCCGUGCCAGCAGCCGCGGUAAUACGGAGGGUGCAAGCGUUAAUCGGAAUUACUGGGCGUAAAGCGCACGCAGGCGGUUUGUUAAGUCAGAUGUGAAAUCCCCGGGCUCAACCUGGGAACUGCAUCUGAUACUGGCAAGCUUGGGUCUCGUAGAGGGGGGUAGAAUUCCAGGUGUAGCGGUGAAAUGCGUAGAGAUCUGGAGGAAUACCGGUGGCGAAGGCGGCCCCCUGGACGAAGACUGACGCUCAGGUGCGAAAGCGUGGGGAGCAAACAGGAUUAGAUACCCUGGUAGUCCACGCCGUAAACGAUGUCGACUUGGAGGUUGUGCCCUUGAGGCGUGGCUUCCGGAGCUAACGCGUUAAGUCGACCGCCUGGGGAGUACGGCCGCAAGGUUAAAACUCAAAUGAAUUGACGGGGGCCCGCACAAGCGGUGGAGCAUGUGGUUUAAUUCGAUGCAACGCGAAGAACCUUACCUGGUCUUGACAUCCACGGAAGUUUUCAGAGAUGAGAAUGUGCCUUCGGGAACCGUGAGACAGGUGCUGCAUGGCUGUCGUCAGCUCGUGUUGUGAAAUGUUGGGUUAAGUCCCGCAACGAGCGCAACCCUUAUCCUUUGUUGCCAGCGGUCCGGCCGGGAACUCAAAGGAGACUGCCAGUGAUAAACUGGAGGAAGGUGGGGAUGACGUCAAGUCAUCAUGGCCCUUACGACCAGGGCUACACACGUGCUACAAUGGCGCAUACAAAGAGAAGCGACCUCGCGAGAGCAAGCGGACCUCAUAAAGUGCGUCGUAGUCCGGAUUGGAGUCUGCAACUCGACUCCAUGAAGUCGGAAUCGCUAGUAAUCGUGGAUCAGAAUGCCACGGUGAAUACGUUCCCGGGCCUUGUACACACCGCCCGUCACACCAUGGGAGUGGGUUGCAAAAGAAGUAGGUAGCUUAACCUUCGGGAGGGCGCUUACCACUUUGUGAUUCAUGACUGGGGUG
rnacentral:rRNA from 1 species